GAGACCUGAGCGUGCGUAUUUGUUUACAGCCGCGAGUAGUCCGCCUGUACCACGCCGGGACAGCUUCGUGCGAAUUAAAAUCUUCCCAGUUUUCGGCAAAAAUAUUUGAAACAUAUAGCGCAAAUCACCAGCACAGUCACUCCCGUGCGUCCGUCAUGUUAAUGCCGUAUAAUAAUGGGAAUUAGCACCCGCUAACAAGACAUGCUAAAGCCACGCUUUAUUAGCUGGCUAAUUUUCAGUUGCCCCGUCAGGUAAUCGUCUGUGACAGUGUGAUUAUUUCACCUCACUAUUACAAAGUGCAAAGCUAAUCUCCGCUUUGGUUUGCAGCUACGAUCCUCGCCUCUUUCAGCGAGUUAACGUUUACCUUUGUUAGUUAGCCUGCUGGCACAGAAGCUAACAUGGGAGCUACACAAGACAGGGUGACCUUUCGCAGCAUGUGUCUCAAAAGAUAAGCAUGACGGUCUGCCUGCACCCAUCCUCCUUCACCUGGUGACACAGAAUGACCAAAGACCCGGUGCAUCAUGGCAUUGUCUGAAGUUUAUUGGGAACACCAAAUACCCCUGCCAAAGUUCACUCCAGUCCAGGCCAAGGUCACGGUUGCCCUGGUGGCACUCCUGUGCUUCAUUAACAGUUAUGACGGGGAGUUUGUGUUUGACGAUUCGGAAGCAAUUGUCAACAACAAGGACUUGAAACCAGCAACACCCCUGAACAACAUCUGGACCAAUGACUUCUGGGGAAGCAACUUGAGUAGCAACUCUAGUCACAAAUCCUACCGACCUCUCACUGUUCUUACAUUUAGGCUGAACUACCUCUUGGCAGGAGGCCUGCACCCUGUUGGCUUCCACGUGCUGAACAUCAUCCUCCAUGCCGUCAUAUCCGCUCUUAUGAUUGAUGUGUUUGCUAUACUGAUUGGUGGACUAGCCUUUGAUGAGAAAGAUAGGAUAUUGAACCAGGCUCCCAAGACUUCUCUGCUUGCCGCCCUCUUCUUUGCUGCACACCCAGUCCACACAGAAAGUGUGGCUGGUAUAGUGGGUCGAGCAGACCUUUUAUGUGCUCUCUUCUUCCAGCUCUCUUUCCUCACCUACUGCAAAGCUUUCAACGCAGGGAGUGACAGAGAUGACAGGUUUUCUGUCCAGUGGGUUGUGGUCAGCCUCUUGCUGUGUGCUGCAGCAAUGCUGUGUAAAGAACAAGGCAUCACAGUCUUGGGUGUGAAUGCAGCCUUUGAUGUCCUCCUGAUCUGUAAUGUUAAUGUGUAUGAACUCAGCCAGAGGCUACUCCUUAGGAAGAAUCCACUCGAUGUAAGUGAGAUGUUACGAACGGGACUGCUUACACGAUUGGCCCUCAUGGGUUUUGGAGGAAUCUCAAUGCUCUAUGCACGCUGGAGGAUCAUGGGAACAGGACCACCAGCAUUCACUGAAGUAGACAACCCUGCCUCUUUUGCAGAAAAUAUAUUUCUAAGAAUAGUGAACUAUAAUUACUACUACUCUCUGAAUGCCUGGCUGCUGCUGUGUCCCUGGUGGCUGUGUUUUGAUUGGUCCAUGGGCUGUGUGCCUCUCAUUAAGUCAGCCACCGAUUGGAGGAUGGUGUGGCUGCUGCUGCUCUGGUGCGUCCUGAUAGGCUUGAUAAGCCAAGCCUUAUGCUCACAGGACAGACAGAGAAGGAGGGUACUGACCUUGGGUCUGGUGCUGCUGGUCGUCCCUUUUCUUCCAGCCUGUAACAUCUUUUUCAGGGUUGGCUUCGUCAUUGCUGAGAGAGUGCUCUACCUGUCUUCGGCUGGCUACUGCCUGCUGCUGGCCUACUCCCUGGGACAGUGCUGCUGUCGCUGGACCAAAUAUAGGAAGCUGCUGUGUGUGUCGGUGCUUGUACUGUUGUGCGUGUAUGUAGCUCGCUGCGCUCUCCGCAGUCAUCAGUGGCGGUCAGAGCAAAGCCUCUUCACCAGUGCCCUGUCUGUAUGUCCACUCAAUGCCAAGGUGCAUUACAAUGUAGGUAAGAACCUGGCUGACAGAGGAAACACCACUGCAGCUAUCAGAUAUUACAGAGAGGCAGUCAGGCUGCAUCCUACUUAUGUCCAUGCCAUGAACAACCUGGGGAAUAUCCUGAAGGAGAGGAAUGAACUGAUCGAGGCAGAGCAGCUUUUGUCUAAAGCUGUUUCUAUUCAGCCUGACUUUGCUGCUGCUUGGAUGAAUCUGGGAAUAGUGCAGAAUAGCCUGCAGAAAUUUGAGGAAGCAGAGCAGAGCUACUGGAACGCCAUCCGCUUCCGGAAAAAAUACCCAGACUGCUACUAUAACCUAGGACGCUUGUAUGCUGACCAGAAUAGACACGUGGAUGCCCUGAACGCAUGGAGGAACGCAACAGUGCUGAAACCUGACCACAGCCUGGCUUGGAACAACAUGGUCAUUCUGCUGGACAACACUGGUAACUUGGGUCAAGCAGAGUUGAUCGGCCGAGAGGCUCUGAAGCUCCUCCCCAACGACCACACGAUCAUGUUUUCAUUGGCUAACGUCCUGGGGAAAUUACAGAAAUACAAGGAGUCAGAGGGCUUCUUCCUUCACGCACUUCGAAUCAACCCAAAUGCUGCUAGUUGCCAUGGCAAUUUAGCUGUGCUGUAUCAUCGCUGGGGAAAGCUGGAGCUGGCAAAGAAACACUAUGAGCUGUCUCUAAAGUUGGACCCAGAGGCGCCAGGGACCAGAGACAACUACAACAUGCUGCGACGCAAACUGGACCAGCUUAAACGCAGCACACCCUGAGGGAGCCUACUGGGACCCUUGCCUGCUGUAAAACAACAUUUUUUCCAUUGUUCCACUUGGUGCCAGAUGUGUCUGAGGCAGGUGUGCUGGAUGCCUGUGCUGGUUACAUGGUCAUCUGCACUGUGCUGUUUUGUUGCCCCAUUUGAAGGCCAUGUGGAACUGAUCCUCAGUGAACCCCGUCCUCUUUUCAUCUCUGACCCUGUGUUGUGUCAGCUGGACAGAGCACCAUGCAUGUGUGGAUCCAGAGAAUCUGUUGUAAAAUUUAUUUGGGUUGGCCUUCAGUCAGGAGUCCCAAAUGUUCCUUUACGCAAAAGCUGCGUUAGUCCUCACAGGCCGACAGCACAGUCUUUACUCAAAGAGGAAAAGCACAGCACGCUGACUGUCCGUGAGAGACAUCAGCUGGUAAGUGUUGGCCACUGGUGGGCUGAUGUGGUUAUCAUGGUUGUUUUUUAAUACCCAUGUCUUUGUUCCUGAGUGGGAUGGCACUCUGAGGUUCAAACUCCCCCCCCCCCAUGCCUUCCCUCUCCCCCUGUAGCCUCUGUAGUUAAUGGGAGAAAGGUGUUUGUGCUGAGAAGUUUUUCUGAAGUGUCCAAAAGCAGACGAGGGGUCAGCUGAGACAGGAAGCCCAUGGCCGGUGCUGUAUGAAAACAGCUCUAUAGCACAGAGCCUUCAAAGGGAGAUGGGGAUGAUCUCCCCGGGGACUGUGCAUGCAUGCACACACAUAUAUACUCACACACAGGCCUGCUCCUCUUGAAGAACGCUGCUGAGGGAAAAGGUGACCCCAGUGUGAAACAUCAGUCAACAAGUGUGCGCCUGAGGUCAAAGUUCAUCGCACUUCUAUUUUUUCACCUGCUUCCUACAGCUUGCAGGAAACUUUUGAAGCUCUGGUGGGCUGGUAUGGCUUUGCUUUAGGGGCCGCUAAGUUUAUUUACACAUACAGUACAAUACACCAGUUGAUGCUUUGAUGCUCUGAAGAUGUUACUGAUAUGCACAUCAGGGGUGCCACAGUACACACGACCAUCAGUGUCCUCUGUAUAUGACCUCCUAAAUAUGCAGCUAAUAUCACAUGAUGAGAUUUCCUUGUUACUCUGCUCAGUUUUUAUUUUUGCUGCUUUGAUGUAAAGACUCUGUGGUAGAUAUAUCUGAAACCAAAACAAAUAGCCUGUAUACACUGCAGACUGCAAGGAUUGUUUAGCCAAAGAUGAAAACCUGUUUCAACAAGACUUAUGUAAAGGUCAGUAUGGUGAAAGGGCUUCAUGCUAUGGAGCGAAUGCAGACAGAAUAAGAUCAAAAAGGUUUUCAUAGUGACAUUCAAGACUGAAAGCUUUUGCUUCAUAUUAUUUCUCGUCAUGCAGUGUAACAUGCAGUGCUGCCGAUGUAGGGUUGGCUGCAAUACCAUCAGCUAUUUGCUUUAUGUACUUAUGGAUCCCUUUAUUCAGUGCCUGCAGCUGACUGUCUAGCUGCACAGCUGUGCUGGCACAUCAGUGGGGGAGUCCACUUUUAUCAUAAUCAUUCUUUGAGUACCUUUCAUUAUCAUAAAAUAUGUGAGUAUUAAAGGAAUGGAUUCACCGGCCCUGCCAACAUCUUCAUUAUCCAUUCUGACUGACAAAAACCUGCUGUCCUAGGGAGUGACAUUAAUAAAAGAUGGGAUACUACUGCCUUAUGAAGUCCUUCCCUUGUUCUCUGGGUUUUCACUGUACAACUUUUACCUGCUUGAAUGCUCCAUCACAAUGAUAAUGAAAUCAGCUCCCAGGUGGGGUUCUUUUAUUGUGUUCUAUUAAUCACACUGAUGAGUUUUGAUCAGUGUAAUCAAUGGAUUCAGGAGCAUCAUGCCUGAUUGUUCACAGCCAAAACCACUCAAAAUUCUGUAAUACUAAAUUCAACAAGGCGUUUUGAUUGCCACAGAACCCGUUGUGGGGGAAAAAAGGCUUUAAAAAAAUGCUGUCAUCCUUUUGUUGCAGCAGAACAUUCAAUAGAAGAACAAGAAACAGGUGUGCUAUUUUGCAUCUGAUAAGCACCAACCCCCCAAACAGUGAAACACAGGUCUUAUAAAAACUGCUACAUGGAAAUGUCCUGAGACUAGGGAUGGGGCCAAUCCGAGUAUCCAGUAUCGGUAUCGGGUUCUGAUACCAACAUAAUUCACGGAUCGGAAAUUUCCGAUGCAACCUGCGGAGAUUUCCAAUCCAUGAACCAUGUCUGUACUCCACUAGUGAGUACAGACAUGGUUCUGUUCUGUUAAUGUUUAGCUAAAUAACAGCACAUGUGAAGUGUGUUGUUUGUAGAUAUACUUUCUAGGAAGCAAUAAUGUGAAAUUAUUGUGGAAAA